rnacentral:lncRNA from 1 species
AUAAUAGUAAUUGUUGUCGUUUGACGUCAGAGAGCCACGAUAUGAUUAUGAGGGACGCCGUAGUGGAGGACUCCAGAAAUUUUGACCAUCUGGGGUUCUUUAACG